GCCUAAUACAUGCAAGUCGAGCGGAUGCACCAAGAGCUUGCUCUUUUGAAGUUAGCGGCGGACGGGUGAGUAACACGUGGGUAACCUGCCCAUAAGACUGGGAUAACUCCGGGAAACCGGGGCUAAUACCGGAUAACAUUUUGAACCGCAUGGUUCGAAAUUGAAAGGCGGCUUCGGCUGUCACUUAUGGAUGGACCCGCGUCGCAUUAGCUAGUUGGUGAGGUAACGGCUCACCAAGGCAACGAUGCGUAUCCGACCUGAGAGGGUGAUCGGCCACACUGGGACUGAGACACGGCCCAGACUCCUACGGGAGGCAGCAGUAGGGAAUCUUCCGCAAUGGACGAAAGUCUGACGGAGCAACGCCGCGUGAGUGAUGAAGGCUUUCGGGUCGUAAAACUCUGUUGUUAGGGAAGAACAAGUGCUAGUUGAAUAAGCUGGCACCUUGACGGUACCUAACCAGAAAGCCACGGCUAACUACGUGCCAGCAGCCGCGGUAAUACGUAAGUGGCAAGCGUUAUCCGGAAUUAUUGGGCGUAAAGCGCGCGCAGGUGGUUUCUUAUUUCUGAUGUGAAAGCCCACGGCUCACCCGUGGAGGGUCAUUGGAAACUGGGAGACUUGAGUGCAGAAGAGGAAAGUGGAAUUCCAUGUGUAACGGUGAAAUGCGAAAUGAUAUGGAGGAACACCAAAGGCGAAUGCCACUUUCUGGUCUGUAACUGACAAUGAGGCGCGAAAGCGUGAGGAGCAAACAGGAUUAGAUGACCUGGUAGUCCACGCCGUAAACGAUGAGUGCUAAGUGUUAGGGUUUUCCCGCCCUUUACUGCUGUACUGAACGUAAUAAGCACUCCGCCUGGGGAGUACGGCCGC
rnacentral:rRNA from 1 species